GCCGUUUUAAUCCCUGCCUCUCCUCCCUGUAAAGGAUGUGAUUGCCAGGGCGCUGAAGCAUAUUGGCGCCUACCAGGAGCUGGACAACACAGAACAAGUGCAGGCCCUCAUCGAUCCAGAGAUGUGUAUCAACUGUGGCAAAUGCUACAUGACCUGCAAUGACUCGGGCUACCAGGCUAUUAAGUUUGACCCUGAGACCCAUCUUCCUGUAAUCAUGGACAGCUGCACCGGCUGCACUCUCUGCCUGAGCGUGUGCCCCAUCAUCGACUGCAUCAAAAUGGUUACCAGGACGACGGCGUACGUGCCCAAGAGGGGCCUGCCUGUUAAUCCCAUUUGCUAAAGCACACUGUCGCUCCACCUGACCGGAGAGAAAGGAAAUCAAAGAGCGACAUCUCAUUCAAAGCAUCGAUUCCACUUAUAAUUGCUGUGUGAAAAAUUACCUUUAUUAUGAAAACGAAUAAUUAGCCAGCAGAAAUAAUUGCUUUAUAUUCCCAAGCCAGUUAUGCUAGAAUAAUUGUGCUGGCACAAAAGAGUUGCAUUAUUUCGAACACAAUGCGUUUUUUUUUUUUUUCCCCAUAAGAUACAACAAUCAAAAGUGAAAUGGAGGGAUUGACUGAGAAAGAUGGUUUAGUGAUUUUGUUAUCUCUGAUUUGAAUGACAAUAAAUAAAUGAAUACUAAAGCAAGAACAUUAAUAA